UCGCGACAUGAUCACUGACGGAAUUAAUUAUGAUUUUGUUGUUCUGCUUUAUGAUUUACUCAAUCACUAUUGUUUCGUGGUCAAAUUCAGCCCUGGAUGCAAAUGGACGUCAUGAUUCUAUUAUGCUCCAAGGUCGGUGGUCGAAUUGAGGUGCCUCUAGAGUCUAGACUGUAGUGUAUUAGGUUGGCAAGAGUAGUAAAACUUAGUGUUGUAUUGAGGAUUGAGGGUGGCCGGGCUUAUAAGUUAAUCAUCAGCGUGAAUGCUUUGUUUGUCUGAUCCUCACAAGUUAAUGCUUCGCUCAUCCGGGUGUGUGAUAAUGCCAUGUGUCUUGUGCAAUCAGAUUACAUUUCUGUUUGUUAUGCUAAUAUAAAAAAUAUUCGUGCUGUCAAAUUUUUCACAGUGCGUGCCUUUCAUUUCUUUAGUGUGAUUGUUUCCCUUGUAUUCAAUAUCUUAGCAAGUUCUUUCUUUGAUGCUUAACCUUGUUACUAUCGUCCAUAAGUAUAGCCAUGAUUUUGGUAUAUGAGCACUAGUGUUUCUUGCUUACAGCAAGCUAUGUAUUGUACAUGUGUCCAUUUUACCUCUGUAAAUAGUUUGUUUCAUACCUAGCAACAUGUUUCCUCAUAAUGAAUUAUUCGUGCCAUGUGAAUCAUUGCUGCUAUCCUGCUACUAAUGGAUACAAGGACGAAAUGCAUAGUUUCCUGUCAAGUAGUGUUUGCUUGGUGACAGGAUGUUGUUUUUUCCUUCCAAGUAUAAUGCUCCAUUCAUGUUUAUGCCUCUUCCAGAAAAUGUGCUGCACCUACAGUAAUCAAUCUAACUUAUCCAUUUUAUUGUAUAGGCCUUCGAGUACAAGAGGAUGAUGCUUGACUAACACGACCAACAAGUUCCGCCAGCGCGAGGCAAGCGACCGAGGUGGCUGCUGUUGUGACCGAAGAUCAGAAGAAGCCUGGAGAUGUGCAUAAUAGUUUUGGUGCCUCUGUAUUUGUUUCUGAUUGUAUGUAUACUUGAUGGAUCGUCCAGAUGUGCUGUUCUGAGUUUCAUAGAGUGAUUUUUGGAUUUGAUCAUUUAAUUGUGAGAAUUAUUGAUUGCUUGCUGUUGAAAUGUGUAAAAUUGAAAUCUAUGAAUGAAAAAUCCUGAAUGUUCGUCUAUUGGAUCGAAUAAUAUUUGGGCUCUAAAAAGGCUAUGGCCCAAACAAUAAUGGACUGGAAUAUUGUGG
rnacentral:lncRNA from 1 species